AGAAGUUUGCUCGCGGCGCGGUCCGGUGAACAUUACUGUAUUUCAUUUGGGGAACAGCAACAGCAAGAGGCUCUGGAAAAAUAAUACUAAUUAAAAAAAAGACGAAAAGUAAGGCUUUCCAGGGAAUGCCGAGGAAUAUCCAACUCAACAGCAACACCAGCCGCAGCGAAUUAUUAUAAUUAUAUAUAUAUAUAUAUAUAUAUGUUAAAAAAUCAGUGAGAUUUAUCAUUGAUGUGGCCAAAUUAGUGGAAAGUUCGGGUCAGUAGGGGGACAGCGGGCUCGCGCGCGGACUGUCGGAGGGGUGCUUUGAAUUUGUGGGUCCUGGAGAAGAAGCGCAGCGCGAAACAGAUUCAGAGAGAGAGAGCGAGAGAAGAGGAGGAGGGGGAAACAAGGAAAGAAAAGAAGAGCCGUCCGAGUGAAAGUGAGAAAGAGUCCCGCUCAGAAUGAAUAACAACAAACCCGAGAAAGAAAACGAGCCGAGUGAAUUCACCAACCACGAGGAGGAGGUCCGAACACUAUUUGUCAGUGGGCUACCACUGGAUAUUAAACCGCGGGAGCUCUAUCUCCUCUUCAGACCAUUUAAGGGCUAUGAAGGCUCCUUGAUAAAGCUCACUUCUAAACAGCCAGUGGGGUUUGUCAGUUUUGACAGUCGAUCAGAGGCGGAGGCUGCUAAGAAUGCCUUGAACGGGGUACGAUUUGACCCAGAGAUUCCCCAGACUCUGCGGCUGGAAUUCGCCAAGGCCAACACCAAGAUGGCCAAAAACAAGCUGGUUGGCACUCCCAACCCCCCUCCUUCCCAGCAGAGCCCCGGGCCACAGUUCAUAAGCAGAGACCCAUAUUCGUUGGCUCCCGCCUGCAGAUGGAACUCCUCAGGGAUGGAAGUCCAGGCAGUUCUGCUGAAGCAUGUGUUCCUGAUGUGUGAUGGUGGCCGUGGCCGGCUGUGACGGGCGUUGCCGAUUGCCUCUCGUGUCCUAUUAGAAACCAGGAGGACCGACCUAACUCCAGCUGCUGGAGCAGCGCACCGUCGGCAGCAGCAGCCUCAUGGGCCUCAGGACAUACUAGACCCCAGCCUCCAUCACACAUCGAGUCCCCCCCCUCCCCGAAAGUCCCUCCAAAUCUUUUUUAUACUGUUACGUAAAUUUACAGGCAGCGCUUGGCUACACCUCCUCUGACACCUCCGUGAAAGGUACCAGGCAUGCACAACAAAGGCGUCCGCGCUCUUUGUUUACCGACUGACUGCAUCGCCCACCUAGCUGGUCUCUCGCUCUGCAUCCUCUACGUGCGGGUGUAAAGCCGGCCACCUAAAAGGAGUGCAAACGUUGUUUUAUGCAGCCACUUUGCAGACGCCCGGAAGUGUGGCUAAAGUGCUACUGAGUAAUGUUAUUAUAUGACUAUAAUUAUUACUAUUCUGUAUAUCAUUCAUAUUAAUGUUAUUAUGAUUAUGAAAUUACAUGUUGACGCAUGACUUUGCAAAAAAAACAAACAAAAAAAUAGAGCGUGAGAGAGAAAACAAUGAAAAAACAAUGCUGUACAUUUUUAGAUAUUUUAAAGAAAUACAAAAAGGUAUUUUUGUAAUCAAGACGAUGUUUGAAACGGUUUUGUUUGGGUUGAUUUAUGUUGUGCUAAAUCUUGUGAGGAUGUUUUAUACCUUUUCUUUUUUUGUUCCCUUUCUGUUCAGUGCCAUUUUAAAACAAGUCGCCCUGCUAUACCAAAGCAGUCCUGCCAGUUUGCUCUUGUCUCUGCUCCAAAAGGAAUUUUGAUUCGCUCAUAUGUGUCGUUUUUUUUUUUUUUUUUUUUGUCCCUCUGUGACGUCUUUACCCGACGAAACGAAACACAGAAGUCUUUUGUCUGAAGCGAUUUUAACGUUGAGUGACAAAACGCACCUGAUCCGGCUCGUAGUUUGGCUGUUUGAGGUAAUCAGAUGUGUGAAAAGAGGCACUGACAGGAAAAAGCCAUCGCCGGUGGAAGGUAGCGUGACCCCAAUGUCACGUAUAGCGUGAUGGCAAUACGCGGCAAACUGAGCCCUGCUAUAAUUAGGAAAUCGCUCCUUCGCUGUGUAGCAGGAGGACAGCAGCACAGUAUAGAGAAACAAGACCAAAGCUUUUUUUUCUUUUCUUUUUUUUUACACUGGAGAGCUAUCUAGGCUAGUGGUUUAUUCCAUUUUUGACUACUUUUGUAGUCCUCAGUCUGAUUUCUUAUGAAGUAUGACAUUAUUUUUGCAGCAUGUCCCUUUUGGUGUCACUCCAAAGAGCCACUCUGCAUCUGAAAGGAUAUUCACUUUAAGCGAUUUGUGUCUUUUGUCUAUUUUUAGGGAACCGGUGUGAUUCAACCUGCUUUUGUAAAGUUUGAAUUUACAUAAUAAUGAUUGGAGUGAGAUGUAUAAAAAAAAAGGAAAAGAUAAAACAAUCUUUUGUAAUCUUGCAAUAACGUCUUUGCUGUAUGACAUAUCAUCGAGUGAUCAUAUUUCUGUGACAUCUUGACGCCAAAAUCUUCAUUCGUUAAUACGAAACCAGUCUCCGAAGGCCAAGUCGCAUUUCACGCUGAUGUGACAAUCAAACGCCGUAAGGAGACGAGCGUCCCCUGUGAUGUUUAGCCCCUCUGUGUACAAUUAUAUCGGACUGGUUGAAUCAUACAGUAGUCAAGUGUUUGUAAUUAAUGAUAAUAUGCAUCAUAUCUAUUAAAUCAGCUGAAGGGUUUUUUUUGUUUUGGUUUUUAUUUUUGCUUUUACAGACAUUUUUAAGCCAAGUGUGGCACUCAGAUUUAUUAGAACAAGUAUUUAUACAACGUGCGUGAAUGUUAUGUGUGUUUUUAAUGGGUGUUGUCUUUUUAAGGUUCAUAGAAAAUGCCCAUCAUAUAAUUCAUUGUAAGUAUUAUUGUAAGUUUAAUUGUAUUUUCAUUUGGUAAGAAUUACUAGAGCUUUUUUCUUCGUUUGUAUCGGUCUGAUUGGAGCAUACUGUAUGUAACAUGUGAAUACUGUUUUACCUGCAUAAUUCACUGUGAAAUCCAGAGAAGAAGAAGAUAUACUCCUCGAACGAAUG